CCUUUAGCCAAUUGGAGCACUUAACCCAAAGAGAGCAGCUUUCUUUUCGGAGCGUCAUGAAAGCUGGGAAGAUGAUCAGGUUCCUCCUUUCCACUAUGGGACUCAUUAUUCAACCAGUAGCUUCACUCUUGCAUGGUUGUUAAGAAUUGAGCCGUUUACUACCUUCUUUCUAAACCUGCAAGGAGGAAAAUUUGAUCAUGCUGAUAGAACAUUUUCAGCAGUGUCUAGAGCAUGGCGCAACUGUCAACGUGACACCUCUGACGUAAAGGAACUGAUUCCUGAAUUUUAUUAUCUCCCUGAGAUGUUUGUCAAUUCCAACAAUUAUAAUUUGGGUGUGAUGGAUGAUGGAACUGUAGUGUCUGAUGUAGAGCUUCCACUCUGGGCCAAAACCCCGGAAGAGUUUGUUCGCAUAAACAGACUGGCUCUGGAGAGUGAGUUUGUUUCCUGCCAGCUUCACCAGUGGAUUGACCUGAUUUUUGGAUAUAAGCAGCAGGGGCCUGAGGCUGUUCGAAGCCUCAAUGUCUUCUAUUACUUGACUUAUGAAGGAGCUGUCAAUCUGAAUUCCAUCAGUGACCCGGUACUAA